rnacentral:tRNA from 1 species
UGGGCUUGUAGCUCAGUGGACUAGAGCACUCGGCUACGAACCGAGGUGUCGGGGGUUCGAAUCCCUCCUUGCCCAA